rnacentral:rRNA from 1 species
CCCUAGAGGAGCCUGUUCCAUAAUCGAUAAACCCCGAUCCACCUCACCCUCUCUUGCUUAGCCUAUAUACCGCCAUCUUCAGCAAACCCUGAUAAAGGUUACAAAGUGAGCACAAACGCCCUGCCGCCGCAAAAACGUUAGGUCAAGGUGUAGCCAAUGAAAGGGUAAAAAUGGGCUACAUUUUCUACAUCAGAAAACUCCACGAAAACUCUUAUGAAACCUGAGAGUCCAAGGAGGAUUUAGCAGUAAAUUAAGAAUAGAGUGCUUAAUUGAACCAGGCCAUAAAGCGCGUACACACCGCCCGUCACUCCCCUCAAAUAUAUUUAAGGAACAUCUUAACUAAACGCCCUAAUAUUUAUAUAGAGGGGAUAAGUCGUAACAUGGUAAGUGUACUGGAAGGUGCACUUGGAC